rnacentral:tRNA from 4 species
AAAAUCCGUUGGCUUUAUUGACCGUGAGGGUUCAAGUCCCUCUAUCCCCA